AACUAACGCAUUUUUUGNUACAGUUUCUGUACUUUAUUGGUAUGAGAAACUUCCAGAACAUUCAUUGUUCUAGGGAAAUUUUGAAACAAAAGCCUUCGGGC
rnacentral:misc_RNA from 1 species